GGGUGUAAGUAACGCGUGGGAAUCUACCCAGCUCUACGGAAUAACCCAGGGAAACUUUGGACUAAUACCGUAUACGUCCUUCGGGAGAAAGAUUUAUCGGAGUUGGAUGAGCCCGCGUCGGAUUAGCUAGUUGGUGAGGUAAUGGCUCACCAAGGCGACGAUCCGUAGCUGGUCUGAGAGGAUGAUCAGCCACACUGGGACUGAGACACGGCCCAGACUCCUACGGGAGGCAGCAGUGGGGAAUAUUGGACAAUGGGCGAAAGCCUGAUCCAGCCAUGCCGCGUGAGUGAUGAAGGCCCUAGGGUUGUAAAGCUCUUUCACCGGGGAAGAUAAUGACGGUACCCGGAGAAGAAGCCCCGGCUAACUUCGUGCCA
rnacentral:rRNA from 1 species